AGCGAGAGAGCGUUGCCGCAGGCAACGACCCGAAGGGCGAAGCGCGCAGCGUUGAGUAAUCCUUCCCCCACCACCA
rnacentral:sRNA from 1 species